rnacentral:tRNA from 3 species
CGGGACGUAGCACAGCUUGGUAGUGCGCUUGCUUCGGGAGCAAGAGGUCGCAGGUUCAAAUCCUGUCGUCCCGACCA